GACGAACGCUGGCGGCGUGCUUAACACAUGCAAGUCGAACGAAGUGGCGAACGGGUGAGUAACGCGUAAUCAACCUGCCCUUCAGCGGGGGACAACAGUUGGAAACGACUGCUAAUACCGCAUACUGAAGGAGGGGAUUGCGUCUGAUUAGCUAGUUGGAGGGGUAACGGCCCACCAAGGCGAAGAUCAGUAGCCGGUCCGGGAGGAUGGACGGCCAAAAUGGGACUGGGACACGGCCCAGGAUCCUACGGGGAGGAGCCGUGGGGAAACUUUCGCAAUGGACGAAAGGCUGGCGGAGCAACGCCGCGUGAGGGAUGACGGCCUUCGGGUUGUAAAGCUCUGUUAAUCGGGACGCGGUACCGGAAUAGAAAGCCACGGCUAACUACGUGCCAGCAGCCGCGGUAAUAC
rnacentral:rRNA from 1 species